UACGAAGGGAGCUAGCGUUGUUCGGAAUCACUGGGCGUAAAGCGCACGUAGGCGGAUUUGCCAGUCAGGGGUGAAAUCCCGGGGCUCAACCUCGGAACUGCCUUUGAUACAGCAAGUCUUGAGUUCGAGAGAGGUGGGUGGAAUUCCUAGUGUAGAGGUGAAAUUCGUAGAUAUUGGGAAGAACACCGGUGGCGAAGGCGGCUCACUGGCUCGUUUCUGACGCUCAGGCGCGACAGCGUGGGGAUCAAACAGG
rnacentral:rRNA from 1 species